rnacentral:misc_RNA from 1 species
CUCGACGACACCAACAACCGCAUGAGCCCAUCCAGCACRUAAGCCACAAUGAGAUCAAAACGGCCAUGGCAAUCGUUCAUGUCAAUAGACGAAUGCAUAGCUUGGGCUCGCAAAGGGAGAAGCCCCGCACCCAUGCGUGACAUUCUACAUCCGAGAGAACGGGCAACACCUCCAUGGGCCUCAGCAGCCCUGUAACAAGGCAGGGCAUGCAAGGAACAUGUAGCAUGCCUAGCGUCCACCGCACACCCAUAAAGGGCAUCAGGCGAAAAGGGGCCACAACACAAACAAAUUCCUUUCUGUAG